rnacentral:rRNA from 1 species
AGCGUACACGGUGGAUGCCCUGGCAGUCAGAGGCGAUGAAGGACGUGCUAAUCUGCGAAAAGCGCCGGCGAGGUGAUAUGAACCCUUGACCCGGCGAUGUCCGAAUGGGGAAACCCAGUGCAAUCCGUUGCACUAUCGUUAACUGAAUACAUAGGUUAACGAGGCGAACCGGGGGAACUGAAACAUCUAAGUACCCCGAGGAAAAGAAAUCAACCGAGAUUCCCCCAGUAGCGGCGAGCGAACGGGGAGCAGCCCGGAGUCUGAAUCAGCUUGUGUGUUAGUGGAACGGUCUGGAAAGUCCGACGGUACAGGGUGAUAGUCCCGUACACGAAAGCACACAUGCUGUGAACUCGAAGAGUAGGGCGGGACACGUGGUAUCCUGUCUGAAUAUGGGGGGACCAUCCUCCAAGGCUAAAUACUCCUGACUGACCGAUAGUGAACCAGUACCGUGAGGGAAAGGCGAAAAGAACCCCGGCGAGGGGAGUGAAAAAGAACCUGAAACCGUGUACGUACAAGCAGUGGGAGCCUCUUUAUGGGGUGACUGCGUACCUUUUGUAUAAUGGGUCAGCGACUUAUAUUCUGUAGCAAGGUUAACCGUAUAGGGGAGCCGAAGGGAAACCGAGUCUUAACUGGGCGUUAAGUUGCAGGGUAUAGACCCGAAACCCGGUGAUCUAGCCAUGGGCAGGUUGAAGGUUGGGUAACACUAACUGGAGGACCGAACCGACUAAUGUUGAAAAAUUAGCGGAUGACCUGUGGCUGGGGGUGAAAGGCCAAUCAAACCGGGAGAUAGCUGGUUCUCCCCGAAAGCUAUUUAGGUAGCGCCUCGUGAACUCAUCUUCGGGGGUAGAGCACUGUUUCGGCUAGGGGGCCAUCCCGGCUUACCAACCCGAUGCAAACUACGAAUACCGAAGAAUGUUAUCACGGGAGACACACGGCGGGUGCUAACGUCCGUCGUGAAGAGGGAAACAACCCAGACCGCCAGCUAAGGUCCCAAAGUCAUGGUUAAGUGGGAAACGAUGUGGGAAGGCACAGACAGCCAGGAUGUUGGCUUAGAAGCAGCCAUCAUUUAAAGAAAGCGUAAUAGCUCACUGGUCGAGUCGGCCUGCGCGGAAGAUGUAACGGGGCUAAACCAUGCACCGAAGCUGCGGCAGCGACGCUUAUGCGUUGUUGGGUAGGGGAGCGUUCUGUAAGCCGUUGAAGGUGUGCUGUGAGGCAUGCUGGAGGUAUCAGAAGUGCGAAUGCUGACAUAAGUAACGAUAAAGCGGGUGAAAAGCCCGCUCGCCGGAAGACCAAGGGUUCCUGUCCAACGUUAAUCGGGGCAGGGUGAGUCGACCCCUAAGGCGAGGCCGAAAGGCGUAGUCGAUGGGAAACAGGUUAAUAUUCCUGUACUUGGUGUUACUGCGAAGGGGGGACGGAGAAGGCUAUGUCAGCCGGGCGACGGUUGUCCCGGUUUAAGCAUGUAGGCGGAGGUUCCAGGUAAAUCCGGUACCUUAUUAACGCUGAGGUGUGAUGACGAGGCACUACGGUGCUGAAGUGAUAAAUGCCCUGCUUCCAGGAAAAGCCUCUAAGCAUCAGGUAACACGAAAUCGUACCCCAAACCGACACAGGUGGUCAGGUAGAGAAUACCAAGGCGCUUGAGAGAACUCGGGUGAAGGAACUAGGCAAAAUGGUGCCGUAACUUCGGGAGAAGGCACGCUGAUGUGUAGGUGAAGUCCCUGCGGACGGAGCUGAAAUCAGUCGAAGAUACCAGCUGGCUGCAACUGUUUAUUAAAAACACAGCACUGUGCAAACACGAAAGUGGACGUAUACGGUGUGACGCCUGCCCGGUGCCGGAAGGUUAAUUGAUGGGGUUAGCGGCAACGCGAAGCUCUUGAUCGAAGCCCCGGUAAACGGCGGCCGUAACUAUAACGGUCCUAAGGUAGCGAAAUUCCUUGUCGGGUAAGUUCCGACCUGCACGAAUGGCGUAAUGAUGGCCAGGCUGUCUCCACCCGAGACUCAGUGAAAUUGAACUCGCUGUGAAGAUGCAGUGUACCCGCGGCAAGACGGAAAGACCCCGUGAACCUUUACUAUAGCUUGACACUGAACACUGGUCCUUGAUGUGUAGGAUAGGUGGGAGGCUUUGAAGCGUGGACGCCAGUCUGCGUGGAGCCAACCUUGAAAUACCACCCUUUAAUGGCUGGUGUUCUAACGUAGACCCGUAAUCCGGGUUGCGGACAGUGUCUGGUGGGUAGUUUGACUGGGGCGGUCUCCUCCCAAAGAGUAACGGAGGAGCACGAAGGUUGGCUAAUCCUGGUCGGACAUCAGGAGGUUAGUGCAAUGGCAUAAGCCAGCUUGACUGCGAGCGUGACGGCGCGAGCAGGUGCGAAAGCAGGUCAUAGUGAUCCGGUGGUUCUGAAUGGAAGGGCCAUCGCUCAACGGAUAAAAGGUACUCCGGGGAUAACAGGCUGAUACCGCCCAAGAGUUCAUAUCGACGGCGGUGUUUGGCACCUCGAUGUCGGCUCAUCACAUCCUGGGGCUGAAGUAGGUCCCAAGGGUAUGGCUGUUCGCCAUUUAAAGUGGUACGCGAGCUGGGUUUAGAACGUCGUGAGACAGUUCGGUCCCUAUCUGCCGUGGGCGCUGGAGAAUUGAGGGGGGCUGCUCCUAGUACGAGAGGACCGGAGUGGACGCAUCACUGGUGUUCGGGUUGUCAUGCCAAUGGCACUGCCCGGUAGCUAAAUGCGGAAGAGAUAAGUGCUGAAAGCAUCUAAGCACGAAACUUGCCCCGAGAUGAGUUCU